rnacentral:rRNA from 1 species
UACGGAGGGGGCUAGCGUUGUCCGGAUUUACUGGGCGUAAAGCGUGCGUAGACGGUUGCGUAAGUCAGAUGUGAAAGCCCCGGGCUCAACCUGGGAAUUGCAGUGGAUACUGGCAAGCUAGAGUACGGUAGAGGAUGGUGGAAUUCCCGGUGUAGCGGUGAAAUGCGUAGAGAUCGGGAGGAACACCCGUGGCGAAGGCGGCCAUCUGGACCAGUACUGACGCUGAGGCACGAAAGCGUGGGGAGCAAACAGG